CUGAGGACUAGACAGCUAACCUUCUGUGAACCUUGAGAAUUCUACUGGAAAGCAAGCUACCUUCCACCUAUCUGGACAAAUGUCCUUCACAUCUUAGAUACCAACACAAGUCUAUUCUCGUCAGGAAAAAAAAAAAAACAACUCUUCAAGACCUUAGUAAAACAUGUAUGUAUUUUAUGUGGGAAAAAACCCUGAGAGCAGCAUGAAAGUUAAGUAUGACAACUUUGUUAUUCAAAAUGGUGACGUUAGGCCAUUGACAUCACACCUAGAACACUUUUCAUGACACUUACCUCUAUGGUUAGGAGAACACAAUGCCAGUGAAAGAACUGGGAGGAUACCACUCCAUCUGAGCUGGGCGAAGAGCAGGACCGAUCACAGAAUUUCACUGUCCCUGGAGAUUGAGCUUAUGCAUCAUAUGAGCCAUAAAACAAAACAGGACCAAUGAGUAGCAGUCUCUGGACAACAUGAGGAUGAGUGUCAGUGGCCCUGGGAUCAGGUCCUUCAGUAGAGGUUGUUCUUCUUGGGAUGGAAUCGUUCAAGUAGAGGCUGGUCAGCUGCAGACAGGACUGUGUGGGGCAGAGCUGAAGCCCUUUUCUUCCUCCUGUAGCUCCCCCACAGGGAAGGAGUGCAGGCCAAAAGGAGCCAAAUGAAAGAGGUCGUGAUGUAUCAAAGGUCAAUGGAAAGCACGAUGUGAUAUCACAGACUUGUAACCCCAGAAUUCAAGAGGCUGAGGCAGGAGGAUUACCAUAAAUUCCAGACAAGCUGGGAUAUCUAGC
ensembl:lncRNA